UACUAUUGAAUCAGAAACAUCUAAACCAGCUCUGGGUGAUAAUUCAGUGGGCUGUGAACCAACACUGCAUGGAAACAGCACUAACAUGAACACACAAGAGAAAACAGUGCUCGGUUUGGGAACGGCUUUGGUUUGUGUGCACUUCUGAUUUUCUGUCUCAUUUAUUUCAUACUGAGGAGAAGAAAAUGGGAUAAAAGUAAGUGUUUCUGUGAUCAGAUAAAAAUUCCAGUGACUUUUAUUCCUAUCAAAGACACUAAUGUGUGUUUCUGUAUUAAUAGUAAACGCUUCUGUAGAAAAUUCUCCAGGAAUGAAUCAGGAAUCUGAAGCUGAAACACUGAAUUAUGCAGCUGUGCAUUUCUCUAAGAGGAAACCCAAAGCUGAAACAAAGAAAUCUGGUUCAUCAGAUGAGUGUGUGUACGCUGAUGUGAAGAAAACUGCACGCUGUAACAUAAAUGAUUCAUAAUAAAUGGGGAAACACACGGCAGAAGCAGUGAAAAUGUUUUAGAAGGUUAAAUAUCUCGACUGUGUAUUAAUUUAUUUCAUAUUUUUCAUGACAAGCUUUUAAUCACUCAAAGAUUAUUAAACUAUUGUUAAAUAUUUUUGCUCGUUUCAGCUGGACAGAUAAUUGAUCUGCUGACUGAUGAACGGAUUUCUAGAAGCAAAAUGACUGUAUUUGGUGAAAGUACAAAAAGAAAAGAAAAAACAACAUCAGCAACAACAAAAGCUGAUAAUAUUUAAAUUUGUUCACAAUAAUUGCAUAAUUAUACAUAUUAAAUAAAUUUGCCC